GUUGCGGUUAAAAAGCUCGUAGUUGGAUCUCGGCGAACAGGGGGCGGUUCGUUAUUUGACGGUACUGCCCCAUUUGUUCGUAUUUUUGCAAGAGGAUUGGGGGUCCCCUUUGUUGGGUGUCUCCGGUCGCUUGCAGGUUUACUUUGAAAAAAUUAGAGUGCUCAAAGCAGGCUUACACGCUUGAAUAUUCGUGCAUGGAAUAAUAGAAUAGGAAGUCGUUUCUAUUUUGUUGGUUUUCGGAAAAUGACUUAAUGAUUAAUAGGGACAAUCGGGGGCAUUAGUAUUCAAACGACAGAGGUGAAAUUCUUGGACCGUUUGAAGACUAACUACUGCGAAAGCAUUUGCCAAGAGUGUUUUCAUUAAUCAAGAACGAAAGUUAGAGGUUCGAAGGCGAUCAGAUACCGCCCUAGUUCUAACCAUAAACGAUGCCAGCUAGCGAUCUGCGGGUGUGUAAAAACAAGACCCCGCAGGGAGCUUCCGGGAAACCAAAGCUUGUGGGUUCCGGGGGAAGUAUGGU
rnacentral:rRNA from 1 species